rnacentral:rRNA from 1 species
UACGUAGGGUGCGAGCGUUAAUCGGAAUUACUGGGCGUAAAGCGUGCGCAGGCUGUUUUGUAAGUCAGAUGUGAAAUCCCCGAGCUCAACUUGGGAACUGCGUUUGAAACUACAAGACUAGAAUAUGUCAGAGGGGGGUAGAAUUCCACGUGUAGCAGUGAAAUGCGUGGAUAUCGAGAAGAACACUUAGGGCGAAGGCAAGACUCUGGACAAAUGCUGACGCUCAUGCACGAAGGCUAGGGUAGCGAACGGG